rnacentral:lncRNA from 1 species
UAUUGCAGUUAUAGUUAUUAGACUUAUCCAAGUGGGAGACUGUUGGAUAAGGUGUCUAAGUCCAUAACUAUUUCUGGUAAGUACUUGACCCGACCCGGCAUGGUCCAUUUGGGUUGCAUGGCACCAUGCAAUUGGAUAAACUAAAUGAGAGAAAUAACACAUAUGGUUUAUUAAUAUAUUAUAAGUUCUAAUAUAUUAAUAAUAUUAUUUAAUUAGUUUUGAUCAAGAAUUAAUUUAGAAUUAAUUAAGUGAUCAAAAGAUAACUAAUUAAAUAUAUGGGUAGAUUAUGUAAAUCUUCCAUAUCUUAUAUAGUGGGCUAAGAGGCUCCAUGGAUUAUCAAGUUGGGUUCCACCCAUAGGAUGCUCCAUGGAGUUAAACCAUGGAUCAAGAAAUGAAGAGUCAUGGAACAUUUGGGUUUACCUAAUGCAACACACUAUAUAAGCAAUGUAACUCUCCCCAAAAUCGGAUAUACACUAAGAAACAAGAGGGCUUGGCCGAUUUUGCAUGUGUUAGAGUAUUCUCUCAAGUUUAUUCUUUGCAUUUGGUGUUGUGUGAAGCAUUUUAGGCAUCACACUUGAGGUGCUAGGCUCACAAGGUUUCAAGGAACACUUUCAACAACAAGGUAUGUAGUUCUAUCUUUUAUACAAAGAAUAUUGUACCCCAUGUAUGCUAGAUAGGUUCAUAACCUUGGAAAACAACUUUGCAUGAUUAUUAGACAAACAUAGAUCCAAGGUUAUUAGGGUUGCAUGUACACUUAGGAAGUGUUAGAAUGCUCAAAACCCAUCAGUUACAGCAACAGAUAAACAAGAUUAAUAAUAGAAAACAAUAACUUGUGCAACAAGACAUUAAGAAAAAGAUAGUUUGAUAAACAAUCUAGAGCUAUAUAUUGAGUAUCAAGUGAAAACAAAUCAAGACCUAUUGAUUUGAGUUUGAAUCAACCUAGAAAAUGCGAUCUAGAUUUGACAAAAAAGAGUAAGCAACUCAAAAGAAAAUAAAGUUCUUUUAUUUGAUAAUCAGCAAAAACAUAUCUUCCAAAAGGUUCUAUAAGGGGUAUUUAUAACCUAAAAACCAAUUACAAAAAGGAAACUUUAAAAUACUAUAUUGCAAAGGCUUAUUCAUAGCUAAAAUAAACCAAACAUGUUUCUAGAACCUUCUUGCUUAAUCGACAUAGAAACCAUGCAAACUCCUCACACACAUGAGUCUUCGUAUUCUGUACUUCCGAAUCUAAUAGCCAAUACUAGUCGUUCGCAGUUAUCUUUCCAAGCCUCGCAAUCGCAACGCAUCGUCUGGGUUUCACAUCAAUUCUCUAGGAACUACAACUGGUUGUGAUCGCUCGCAUCCAUUUGCACCUGGUCGUAACCAACAUCCUGCUUUGACUGCAAAAGGCUGUGAUUCACAUUCACAUCAAUAAACACUAUAUGUAUAGGACUACAAAUCAUGGAAAUGGGGAAGGGAUAAGGGUGGGAUCUAACUAAAAAGAAAUAAAAUUUUUUUUAAUAAAUAAAUAUAAAAUAAACAAUAGACAAAAUAAAAAGAAAUAAAAAUGGCAAUAUAGUUUUUUAGGUAUAUUAAGGACCAAAAAUUGUAACAAAAAUACAUUUUAGGGGACAUUCCGAAUUAUCCUAAAACACUUUUUUUCUUCAUUAUAUGGUCAUGCAAAAGAAUCUAUAUGGUCACACAACCCAUAUAGGUGGUCAAACAAAUCAUUUUGCUUAUUUACAUNNNNNNNNNNNNNNNNNNNNNNNNNNNAAGUAUAUAUAUAUAUAUAUAUAAUGAUUUAUGAAUAGUAAAGUUCUUGUGCUUUAAACCUUGGCCAUACUAUUUUGAGGGGUUGAUAGGUUUAGUUAUUGAUUUGAAGUUGUCCAUAUUUAGUCCUUCUACCUCCCUUCACCUGUAAGCCAAUAAGAAAUAGAUUGGUUUCAUAAUUAUUGAUUUCAUCUCUCCUUUAGAUUUAAGAAGGAACUACAUCGAUACUUCUUCAGGAUUUGGAAACCUUCCGACAUCGUUUUCACUCCAAACCCCAAAUUCAUGUGAGAUUAAAAGUGAAUGGAGGUGGACAAUCAUAGAGAAACAACAAUAUUGGGUUUGUGGUUUUUCUUCGAUUCCUCUGAUUAUCUUUAAGCAAUAGUUAUAUAAGAUUUAUAUGUUAUUUGAUUUUGAUUCCUGUACGCUCUUCGAUUUAGGAGUCUAAAGUUUUAUUUGCAUUUCCAUGGUUAAUAUUCAAGUGAAUAGGUACUAAAAGAGAGGUAGCUAAUGUUGGAUUAAAGUUUCUAAGAUCAUAGCUAAAUUGAUAUAUACUUGAAUUCAAAACAAAGUCCUUUUUGGGUUGCCCUCAUAACUAGUGAUUAAGUAGAAUGGCUUUUAGAGAGAGAGAGAGAGAGAGAGAGGGAGAGAGAGAGAGAGGUUGAUUUAUUGAUUUAUUAUAUGAUUAAAUGAGUUGUUAAUAUAUUAUGUGAUUAAUAUCUUAAUUUGAAAUAGUGUAAUUUAAUUCAAAAUUAAUGAGAAAUUAAUAGGAAUUAAUUUUAGGAUUAAUUAAAAGUGCAAGGACUUAAGCUGUAAUUGUUCAAAAGUUGAUCACGAGAAAAAUUCUAGAACCCUCUUGUAACGUCUUGAUUUUCAACCCAAUUUUUUUCAUUUUCAUUCAUUAAAAUAUAUCAGAGUAUAAUUACAUUAUGCGGAAACAUAUUGUGAAUGCGCAUGUGUACAGUCGAACCUUACCCUUCACACAAACCAAUGAAGCUCCUGAAAAAGAAUGUAUAAACAACUGGGUAAGCAAGAGGCUUAGUGAGUUCCCCAAGAUACCAUAUAUCACAAUACAUAUACAAUGCAUACACAUAAUGUCCUUCAUCAUAAAGUAGGUCCGCCUUGGCAUUUAGCACAUAGUUGGUCUACCUUUUUUGCCUUCAACAUAUAGUUAGUUCGUACAUUGGCCUUUAGCAUAAUGCUAGUCCGCUUGAGUCUAUUGGCCAUCAGUACAAAGCUAGUUUUCCCUCAACUACCCACGUAAUAUAUCAAUACAUAUAUAUGUAACAGACAACAAUCUAACACUACAGGAAACUAACAGAACUAGCCUAAUUGCAUACUAUAGGUAAAUAUGUCCUACCAUAUAGAGGAUAUAUAAUUGAAGACAUAAUAUAUUCAGAAAAACUCAUCUAGGUAGUUAUCUGGGUAACACGCCUAACGAGUAUUAACCUAUAACACUUUAACUUAUUAAUUCAUAUAGAUAUUUCACUAAUCCCACUGAAUAUUGAGAGUUUGAUCAAAUAAGGAUCAUCUAGGUCAGACAGUUGAGAGGCAGGACCAUUUCAGCAUAUUACUUUUUUGAAAUCCAAUAACCAAGCCAAUGUGACCAUUCUAGGCGGCUCUCCCAUAAGUAGAUCAAUCAACAUUAUAACUGGAAUUAUUGAUAAAUCUUAUUUAUAUACCCAUAACAACGACUAUGAAUAUAAAUAUAAGUCUAGCUUAACUUAUAGGGAUCCUAGUGAAAACCAGGAAGAUCUCCAGCAGAGCAUCGAUACCACUGCCUUAGAGCUUAUCUAAAGUGGUGUACCUUGGACUCCUAAGAAUACCCCAAGGGUCACACUUGAGAGAGAGAUAAGAGAUUUUGGAGUGAGGGUGGUGGAAGAAAUGAAAGAGAUCUAAGACUUCUAUUUAUAGUAUUGGUGCGUUCCAUACAGCACGGAUACACAACGUGUAUCUUUUCGGGGCUGGUGACAUGGCUUCAGUAAGAGGGUGACACUUGAAAAAAACAUGGUGGGCCACGUUGGGUUGUCUUUGCGUGCUGUGCAGUGCGUGUGUACGCGUGCGAUUUUCUGAUUUUUAGUAAAUUUCGUAACUUCUUCAUAUGAGCUCCGUUUUCGACAUUCUUUAUAUCCAAGCAUAGCUAUCAAUGAGAUCUACAACUUUAGUUUAUACUUUGUCAUUUUAUUCUCACUUUAUUUUUAAAUUUAUAUUUUAACAGGCUUAUACUAUUAAAGCCCAUACAAAAAUCAUAACUCUCUCAUAUGAAUUCCAUACUCGACUGUCUUUAUAUCGAUGGAAUUAUAUUGAUGAGAUAUUCAACUCUCGUUUAGAUUAUUUUUCCCAACAAUCGACCGAUCUCCAUUUCGGUUUACAUGUUGUACAAUACUACGCUGAAACUUCUAAAAAUCAUAAAUUCCUAUCAUGAAGUCGGAUUUGGACGUUCUCUACAUGCCUGCUCUCCAUUUUUGCAAUUCUACAAGUUUCAUCAAGACUAUUUAUCCUAAAUAGUCUUUUAUCAAAAAUGUUUAUGUGACUAAUUCAUUUAUAUUAUAAGGCAAAAUUGGGGUGUUACAACUCUCCCCCACUUAUAUAUAUUUCGUCCCCAAAAUCCUACUCUUACCGCACUUUAAGAUAAUUCUUAUACUAUUCUACUAGGGUUUCACGAGAUCAACUCAGGAUCUAGCCGACGUUGCAGCAUCGAAUUCGUCCAUCUGUAGUUAUUUGGCCGUAGAACUUCAUUUUCUACCGUAUAUGUACUCCUUAACUCCCCGCAAAGUAUUCCAAAAAUGGGAAUUCGUCGGUCUGGACUUCCAAAAUUUACACGCUACCUUUGACGAUCGCUUUCAGACAUAAAAUGCUGAUAUCAUCGACUGGUUAUGAGGUGCUUAACUAUGGAAUUUAUCUACAACAUCCUAAUACAAUCCAUUUUCAUGAAGAUGCCUCUAAAAGGCUUAUGUUAUAUUGAUAAAACACAUGCAAACCGAGAUCAUAAACAAUUUCCUUACCUAGUUCAGGCAUUCCAAUAUCCUGAAUGUUAACCAAACUACUAUAACAGGUUUAUUGGCUUGAAAACACUAGGACCAGUACUCUAAUAUCGGCAACGGACUCAUAAUAAGGAUUUCUUAUCUUCUAGCCUACUAGAUUAUAAUGAACACGAGGUCGCCUAAUAGCCCUCUCUCAAGGCUCUAACUACAUUACCUAUAUAUUGUUCGAGCAAUUCGUUCAUGAUACAUCAUGACACUUAUUCAACUAUUGGGAUCAUGAUUCCAAAUCUCUCUUGUAAUCAUUCCCCCUCGGGCUUGAAGACUCACGAUGAACCCUAACGACUCACCACCAUUAUCCGAUUGUCCUGAGGGAACCCAAUCAUUAUCCUUCCUUGAUAUCUUCUUAUCACAACAGAUCCCUGGUUGUUAAACAUUUUGAGGCUACAACUAAUUAGAGGUCCUUAAUCUACAUUGUUCUGAAGCUAAAGUCUAACUAUCGUCCUUUGUCAAGCUAUGAACAUCGAAAUUCAAUCUUAGUUUUCUAUUAAUUCUUACGCUUAUCGACUGAAGGAAUAACUAAACUAAACACCUAGUCUAUCAUGAUGCCUAAAGUAACACUAAAGUAUUACCAUAUGCUUUAUGGGUAUAGCCCUUUUCGAAUGGUCUCCUCCUAUGGGUCUCUAAUCGUACUCACGAAAACACUCUAUCCCGUUACAUUGAUCCUACUGCUAUAAUCCUUUGGCACAAGUUAACUAAAUCCUUUACUAUGGUUGAAAUCAAAUUCGUCAAAUUGUAUUUUAUGAGUAUUCGACGCUCUCUUUGGCAAUCUGGGCAACCUACUGAAUUUUUAACUGAUCCUAUGUUGUGAGGAUAAAUCCUACAUCCUCGAAGGCAUGAACCUAUAUGGUUCUCUUGGCUAUCUGAGUUGUACCUGGGAGUUUGGAAAAUUCCUAAAUCCUAUUAGUCGUUUUGGGAUGAAAGACCAACCUUUCCCUGAGAAGCAAGAAACUCAUAGCCUAUGGGUAAUCUUACAUAAGAAUUCGUUCUUCUGUUACCAAAAAACAAAACUAACUAUCUCCUCCUACAUGUGCUGCUACUCUCCUGGACCUCUAUGUCAAAAUUAAAAGUUGAACUGCCCUACGUACUUUCUCCUUAAGGGUCGGUUCUUCCCUACUUGGGUUCGACCCAUCAUCGGUUGCUACUUGUAACUUAAUCUAGCUUAGCCUAUGUCAUCUGUGUCUCCUUUUGACUUUGAAGAAACUCAUGGUUGUCAUCUCCAAUGACAUUCGACAUUCUCAUCGUAGUACUACUAAUUAUGCCUACCGUAAGUGGUAUUUUUACAUAGCACGACCAAAACAUGAUAAGGCCGUGACCAGCACAAUGUUCAUCAAAAAACGUAGUAACACAUACGUAUGAGAAAGGGGAUUUUAUUGUGUAAUAGAAUUUUACAAGAAAUAACGAUGAUUUUUGGGUUACAUACUAAUACCUACAUACCAAAAAUAGACAUAGUACAUACUCUUUAGUACAUCCUAUCAGUGUCACUCAUUCUUCCUUGAUAGGAAACAACACAACUCCAUUAUUGGUUGUAGGUACCUUCUCCCUUAGGCUUCCAUUAGUUAUACUAAAAGUUUCAGGAGUUAGAGCACGCAUUUCACUUGUUGGUUCUUGAAGAGGGAAAUUGGCAUUGAUUUGUCCCUUCUAGUUGUAGUGGAAACAAACAUUCACCCCAUGUGUUUUUUGCUUACAUUCUCCGCAAAAAUGUCCCUUCUCGCCACACCUGAAGCAUACCAAAGUGUGAAAAGCUCCCUCGUGAGACUUCCUACACUUGGUACACCGAGGGCCCCUCUAUCCACCGGUCCUUGAGUUGGCAUGCUUAAAGCGUUUGGCUACUGCUAGAAGAGUUGGAUCUUGUGCUUGCUUCCUCUUUUCAAACUAUCCUUCUUGAGUGGUCCUUACAAUUUCAUCAAUAGUUUGAAUGGCAGAAAUCCGCUCCUUAACACUGAUAAUAAAUCUAUUCGUGACCCAUUUAAUGAUAUCGGGUAAUUCAUCUAGUAAGGUAUGUGAGACCUCAACGACAAUCCAAUCAUGUAGGGAUGCGUUGUCAAUGCAAAUCCCAAAGCUCUCUGCUUCAGGAUGUGUAGUCAACAUUCUGUAAAUAAGACCUAUUACUACUCAUUUUGUUGACGUUUAAUUGCAAAAAGAUCGUAGAGUACUGAAAUUUGCUUCUAUCAAUCUAAUGCCUAAGGCAUAGCUUAUCUAUCUUAUCCUUUUCAUACGGAUAGCUCAAUCCUUCCUCCUUAGGUUUUGGGAGGUUGACAUAUGAUCACCUCAUAACAACUAACUGAAUGUUCAUAUUUAAUGACCUUCAAAGGAUUUAGAAUGAACUAAAAACUUGUCUCUAUAAGUCAACACUUCAAAUUUAGGAGAUAUCUUCCUCCAUGUUCUAACAUGGUACGAUUACGUCAUUGUAGGUGCCAUUUCUUAAUGACGGUUGCGAUACUUCUGUCGAUUUCUUUGAUCAUCUUUCCCCUAAAUCUUUUGACUAAAUUCAUACACUUCAUUGAGCUUUCUUCGCAAAUUUAUCUUAGUCAGGAUUGAUUUACCACUAAGGUUAGAAUAACAUACAAUUUAUUAGUCAUCACCAAAACGAUGGUAAUGACCGAUACAAACAAAAUAACUCAACUAUGAGUGCCUUAGUAACCUUGUGACUUUUCCUUAUCCAAGUAUGAGUCAUGUUCUUCUAGUAGUAUAGGCCUCUACUACCUUUCACACCUACUCAUACUUGUCCCAAAAAUUGUCUUACAGUUUCCAAGUCACUUCCAAAACUACACACCUGCCGCUAAACAUAUAUAUGUAUAUGUCCCAUGAGCACCUACAACAGGUUUUCCUAGACUCCACUAAAGCUUUGAAUAUUUACCGAUACCCUAUCCCACAAAUAUAUGCUAUAUCGAGCAUAUAUUAAGCUUCCUAGAUUCUUCGCUGAUAUAUCCACGAAUUAUUUUGAUACUUCCAUAGAUUUUUAAGUGAAGUGAAAAUUAUGCCCCUGCUUAUCUUCAUUAAAAUAGACUGACCUACCCCCUUUAUCUCCAUCCCCAUCCUGUUUGACUAGUUUUUCCCUCGUGAGAUUCUCUUACCUGACAAAAAAUCCAGCAAAAGUCAAGGGCCUUUAACUUACGUUUUCUUAAAUCUAGCUCCUCGGUGUACUCGAUUUGUCCCCUUUUGGUGGCAGUGUAAUUUCCACUCUAGCCUGACGACUACGAUGUUGUAAAGCCCAUCACACUAUCCUAUCUCUUUUUACCCUCUCUUGUCGUCGGUCACCACAUCACUAUCAAAAUAAGGUACCAUCAAGAUUAUAUGGGAAGUAGCCGUAAAAACUCAAACCAAGAACCAAAAAGUUGUCUGAGUAAAACCAGGUUUGCUGUAGAAGGUUAUGCUUACCGGAAGAACACAUGCACCACCUCUAACUACCAAAGAAUAUGAGAAAUUGCUAGAUUUUCAAAACUAUUUCCAGAUGCAAGUGAUUCCUCUAUCUUAAUGAUCAUAUACGGUACGGUGGUGGUAAAAUCAAGUGGUUAUUAGUCAUAUCUGCUACUGUGUAAAAUUCAUUGCUAGACUUUCAAAACUUUAUGUAGAUGGAAAAAGAACACCAUUAAAGAGCAUAUAUCAAGACCAGUUGCAGUUGUAGGUGAGUAAAAUCAAGUGAUUAAAAGGAACCAUUACAAGCAUACUCAGAGAGCUUUCUGACAAUUUCUUUCUCUGUGCAGACUUUUGAAGGAUGAAGAAUUCCUCUACUCAAUGCUAGUUCGGGAGAACCGAUGGACUCUGAGUUUGACACACUGAAUGAUUUUCUCGCCGGAGUUUUGUUCGAUUCUUUAACUUUCUUGUUGGAAUGUGAAGUUUAUAUGUUUGUUGAAGUGGGUUUGUCGGGUUUUAUUACUAUGGUGGGGAGUUUAAGAUCUAUCUCUAUAUCUGGUGAAAAAUGAAACCUACAGAUAGGGUAUCACUUACCUUUUACUGGUUGAUGAUUGCAACCGAAGAAGCAAAAACAUAUGCAUGCAUCUUGAGGGCAUAAUUGUCAAUAUACUAAAAAAUCUAUGGAUGUAUCAAAAUAAUUCGUGGAUAUAUCACUUCCCUUCUAAGAUUCCUUUCCACUCCACCCUACUAUUAGGUGUGGUAGCACUUCUAUCAAUAUUAACUAAUUAUCGGACGAAUACGAUUACAUGCCUCUAAAAUCAAACAGCCUGUCAACUGAAAGAUCCAAUCCUACGACGGUUAGACUCAUACGAGAGCUACAUAAUAGAGCCAAAUCAAGCAAUCUAAAACUAUUCAUUUUUGGGAGCAUGUAACCUAAUGUAUUUGUCAAAGAACUAAUUAAUAUCAAUGUAGAUUCUAAGCAACAAUUAACAGGCAAAUAUCUAAGCUCUAACGCAUCUUAAUUUUCAAGAAAUUCUAUUUAGCAAUUCCCUAAAAGAUCCCUAGCUUACAGACUAGUAUGCAUUUCUAACAUUUCCUAUAUCAACAAUCAUACCAAUAUGGAUAUUUUAGGAAUCACUUUUUCUUUCUGUGCUUUAGUUGACUGUACGCAUCAUAUUCUUUCCUUUUUGUAUUAUUCUUUUUAUGAAAAGAUUUAUUAAUUACUCAGAUCCUUAGUUUGAUUUUGGAAUCAGACGAGUGUUCAGCCAGUUCACUCAAUCUUGGGCUUUGAUACCAACUUGUAACGUCCCGAUUUUCAACCCAAAUUCUUUUCAUUUUUACUUAUUAUAAUAUAUCAUACUAUAAUUACAUUAUGCGAAAACAUGUUACGAAUGUGCGUGUGUACAGUCAAAACUUACCUUUUACACAAACCAACGAAGCUUGUGAAAAAACAUUUAGAAACAAUUGGGUAAGCACGAGGCUUAGUGAGUUCUCCAAAACACCAUAUACCACAAUACAUAUACAAUGCAUUUGUAUAAUGGCAUUCAACAUAAAGUUGGUCUACCCUUGGCCUUCAGCACGAAUAUGGUCCGUCCUUUUUGCCUUCAGCAUAUAAUUGGUGCUCACUUUGACCUUUAGCAUAAUUGUAGUCUGCCCAAGUCUAUUGGCCUUCAGCACGAGGUUGGUCUGCCCUCAACUCCCCACAUAAUGUAUCAACAAGUGUGUGUGUGUGUGUGUAUAUAUAUAUAUAUAUAUAUAUAUGUAUGUAUGUAUGUAUAUAUAACAUACAACAAUCCAACACUACACGAAACCAACAGAACUAGCCUAAUUGCAUAUUAUAGGGAAACUAUAUCCUAUCAUAUAGAGGAUAUAUAUUGGAGCACAUAAAAUAGUGAGAAAACUCACCUAGGCAUGUAUAUGGGCAAUUCUAUUGGAAAUCUAAUCAGGCUGGUAACGUGCCUAAGAAGUAUUAACCAAUAGUACUAUAACUUAUUAAAUCCAAUGGUAAUUUGGUAAUGAAAGCUAGAUAUUUCACUAAUGUCAAUGAACACUGAGAGUUCCAUCGAAUAAAGAUCAGCAGGACCGGAUAGUUGGCAGGCAGACCCAUUUCGGCAUAUAGCUUUUUUGAAAUCCAACAACCAAGCCAACGUGAUCAUUCUAGGCACCUCUCCCAUAAGUAGAUCAAUCAGCAUUAUAACUGGAAUUACUGAUAAAUCUUAUUUAUAUAUCCAUGACAAUGACUAAGAAUAUAAAUACAAGCGUAGCAUAACUUAUAGGGAUCCUAGCGAAAACCGAGAAGAUCAUCGGCAGGGCUUCGAUACCGAGCACUUCUAUUUUCCAGACCCACUACCUCAGAGCAUCACUAAAGUGGAUUACCUCGGACUCCCAAAAGUACCCCAAGGGUCGAACUUGAGAGUGAGAUAUAUGUAUAUAUAUAUAUAUAUAUAUAUAUAUAUAUAGAGAGAGAGAGAGAGAGAGAGAGAUGAGAGAGUUUGGAGUAAGGGUGGUGUGAGAAAUAAAAGAGACUGAAGACUUCUAUUUAUAGUAUGGGUGCAUGUCGCACAACAUAGAUGUACAUCGGGCAUCUAGUCAGGGCUGGUGACAUGGCUUUAGUCAGAGGGCGACAUGUGGUAAAAAUACGGUGGACCGCAGCGGACUGUAUAUGCGCGUCAUGCAACGCGCGCGUACGCGUGUGAUUUUCUAAUUUUUUGUAAAUUUCGUAACUUCUUCAUAUGAGAUCCAUUUUGAUGUUCUUUAUAUCCACGUGUAGCUAUUGAUGACAUAUACAAAUGUAAUUUAGACUCUGUCGGCUAAUUUUCAAUUUAUUUUUAAAGUUGUAUUUUUAACAGGCUUAGACUGUUGAAGUCCGUACAAAAAUCAUAACUCUCUUAUAUGAGUUCCAUUCUCGAUUGUCUUUAUAUCGAUGGAAUUAUAUUUAUGAUAUUUUCAACUCUCGUUUAGAUUGUUUUUCCCACCAAUCAACUGAUCUCCAUUUCGUUUUAUGUGUCAUACACUGCUACGCUGAAACUUCUAAAAAUCAUAACUUCCUGUUAUGAAGUCAGAUUUGGACGUUCUCUGUAUGUGUGCUCUCAUUUUUUGCGAUUACUACGACUUUCGUCAAGGCUAUUUAUCCUAAAUAGUCUUCUAUUAAAAACAUUUAUUUGUGUGACUGUCGUUUACACUAUAAGACAAAAAUGGGGUGCUACACCUCUUGAGAUGGAUAGUUUAAGCAUGUCCAUUUAUGGUUUCUUGAAUGUUCAUUUUAGUUAAAUAAGGAGUUGGAUAAUUAACUAACUUGAAAUAUUAAUAUUAUAUUCAAAUUAGGGUUUCUUGGGUUCCUUGUAUCAUCUAUAAAUAGGGCCCUUAGGAUCCUUAUUUUCAUCCGCUCUCAUAACGUAAGGCAGAGCCAAAAUAUUUCUUUUAUAUCUUCUCUCUCCUCAAGUCUUCUAAUUGCUAGGUUUUGGGGUACAAACCAAUAGAGGCACUAAACUUUUGAUGCUUGCUUUCCAAGUCUUUCAAGAAUGAAUUUUGUUUGGUUAUUUUCUAUAAUAAUGAAAAUGUAUGUAAACCCUAAUCCUAUCUAUAUUUCGAUUAUUUUGAGGUUCCUUUAGGGUGCUUAAUGUUCAAUAGUUCAUUGUUAUCAAUCUGAGAAAACAUAGAUCAUUUACAGGUUACAUGUGAACCUAAGAGUUAAUAUUUUCUCUUCAUAUGUAUUUUAGUAACCGAGAAAACUCAUUAGUGGUAUCAGAUCCAUUUUUUCUAUUGAUUGUGCAUAAAAUUGAAUAUAUCAAAAUUAGGGUUUAUUGAAAAUAAACCCUAUUUAUUUGAAAAUUUUGACUUGGCUAGGGUUUCUUGAAACCCUAGCCUCCACCUGUUAUUUUCGAAUUUGCCUUAGGAUUUCUUAGGGUUUCUAGUUUCCUUAAUCAUUAUUUUAAAUGUCUUAAAAUUUUAAUAAUUAAAAUUUGGUAACCCAAUCCCCAAAUAUUCGAAAAUUUGAGGGUUAUCGGAUUAAAUUUGAAUUAUUUAAUUAAUAGUUUAAUUGAAAAUAAUUAUUUAAUCCUUAAAUUAUUUAAAUUAUAUUAAUUAAUUAUUAAUUUAAAAGAUAAAGAUUAAAUCAUAAUUGGUUUAAAUAUAAUUAAGUAANAAUUUAUAAUAUAUAUAUAUAUAUAUAUAUAUAUAUAUAUAUAUUAAAAGUUUAAUUACUAUAUGUGUAAGAAAGGUCAUUUGAAUCGCUAGUAAGCCUCAUUCAAGAAGUCAUGCUAUAAAGAUGGUAUAAAGAAACGACCUAUAAAAUGACCAUUGACUGGGUGUCCUUGCUGCUCUCCUGUGGUAGAGGGUCGUUAGUUGAACAGGUUCGAUAGGACAUAAUCUGAUUAAAAGUAUAAUCUGUAAAAGUACUAUAACUUUCUUUUAAAUUCGCCUCUAGUUACUUUAGGAAAAUGUCAAAAUUAUACUAAUCCAUGAAAACACACAUCAUUCUGUAUAAGUCAUUAAUAGAGCGUGCGUAGCUAACCGACAUAAUAAUUUGGGACUAUAAAGUUGAAUGAUGGUACAAAUUGUAAAUUAUCAUUGUUCAUGGAGUGUGUGUGGUUUACUAGCACGUCAAUUUGAGAUGAUAAAUGACAUCGAGGUUAUCGAGCGGGUUUGCAUGGUUAUCAAAUCUUGUUUGUGAUAAUCGGUAUCGCAUCCAUAAAUAGAAGAGCAUAAUAUGAGAUUAAACAUGCUAAUGAUAAGAUUCAAUGAAUCUCAAAAGAUCUAGGAAUUUCAUAUUAGAUUGAAAUUGGUGGAUUGUUUUACCUACCUUUAUAAAUCACAAUAAGACUAUGUAUCCCUCUUCUUGAUUGUGAAUUGUGUUUUGGAUCCUAGCCUUAAAUAUUUAUUUUGGGUUAAAAUACAAAGGAUUUAUGUCAACUAACUAAAACUAUCUCUCUUAAUAUAGAUGUCUACUUCUAGUUAUGUUACCGAUGCUCAAUCCUCCACCAACAACUCAAACAUCACUCUUCUAUCGAUCUUAUCGAAAAAGAAACUAGAUGUUCCAAACUACAUGUACUAGAUGAUAAAUCUCAAAAUGACUCUUUGAUACAAGUUUUGGAUAAGGUGUCUAAGUCCAUAACUAUUUCUGGUUAGUACUUGACCCGACCUGGCAUGGUCCAUUUGGGUUGCAUGGCACCAUGCAAUUGGAUAGACUAAAUGAGAGGAAUAACACUUGGAGUUUAUUAAUAUAUUAUAAGUUCUAAUAUAUUAAUAAUAUUAUUUGAUUAGUUUGAUCAAAGAAUUAAUUUGGAAUUAAUUAAGUGAUCAAAAGAUAACUAAUUAAAUAUAUGGGUUGAUUAUGUAAAUCAUUCAUAUCUUGUAUACUGGGCUAAGAGGCUCCAUGGAUUAUCAAGUUGGGUUCUACCCAUAGGAUGCUCCAUGGAUGCUCCAUGGGAGUUACAAACCCAUGGGUCAUGGAAAUGAAGAGUCAUGACACAUUAGGGUUUACAUGGUG